rnacentral:tRNA from 1 species
UGGGGAGUGGUGUAGUUGGCCAGCACGCUAGUUUUUGGUACUAGAGGAUCGGGUUCGAAUCCUGGCUCCCCAA